UACAGAGGGGGCAAGCGUUGUUCGGAAUUACUGGGCGUAAAGGGCGCGUAGGCGGCCUGUUAAGUCGAACGUGAAAUCCCCGGGCUCAACCCGGGAACUGCGUCCGAUACUGGCAGGCUUGAAUCCGGGAGAGGGAUGCGGAAUUCCAGGUGUAGCGGUGAAAUGCGUAGAUAUCUACAGGAAUGCCGAUGGUGAAGACGGGCAACUGGGCCUUUCCUGACGCUGAGGCACGAAAGCGUGGGGAGCAAACAGG
rnacentral:rRNA from 1 species